rnacentral:rRNA from 1 species
AUGAGGACUACACAUGUGUUGUUUCUGGCCCUCGCCUUACUCAUGCUAGCAUCAGAUUUUGCAGAUGUGGUAACAGAGGCGUCAAUGGAUGAUAGCGUUAAAAUCUUGAGGUGUGCGGCAACCAGUAUACCAUCACCACAGCCAUGUGACAACUUCACUUGCGAACUGGCAUGCUUCAACCUUAUAAAGCUGCCCAAACAAGGAAAGUGUACUGAUUUCCAAUCUUCUUGA